UUCAAUACAUUUCUCUAAGAAUAUAUUGAGUGAUCGAGAUUAAUGGAGUCUACAGGAAAGCAGACAAGUCAUGAUCAUAAGCACAGGAUUGAGGAAGAGGAUGAAGCAAUCACGUAUGCUGGCGUGUUAAGUAGCUCUUUCAUUUUACCAAUGGUGUUGAAUGCCUGUAUAGAGCUCAACGUGCUUGAGAUCAUUAACAAAGCAGGGCCUGAUGCUCAACUCCGGCCCUCUGCUAUCGCUUCUCAACUUCCAACCGGCCGCAAUCCUGAUGCGCCAUUUGUGCUUGACCGCAUGCUGCAUCUCCUUGCUAGCUACUCUCUUCUCACUUGCUCUGUCCACACUCUCGAGGAUGGCAAGGUUCAGAGACGUUACGGCCUCACGCUUGCCGGAAAGUGUUUUAUUAGAAGCGUGGAUAGAGCGUCACUCGCCCCGUUUUCACUCCUCUCUCGCUGCCAGGCUAUCACGAAUAUGGGUUUCCACUUGAAGGCCAGGACGCGGUGCUUGAAGGUGGCUUUACAUUCGAGAAAGCCCAUGGAAUGUCGAUCUAUCAGUACAACAGUGUAAAAGAUCCUACAUUCGGAGAGGCUUUUGAUGAGGCAAUGACUCAACACUCCACCCUUAUCACGAAACAAAUUCUCAAAAAAUACAAGGGUUUUGAGGGCCUAUCAUCAUUAGUUGAUGUUGUUGGUGGAAUCGGCACUACCCUCAACUUGAUCAUCUCUCAGUACCCUUCCAUUAAGGGCAUUAACUUCGAUGUGUCUGAAGUAUUAAGGAAUGCCCGAUCUUAUAAUGGUGCGUAUAUAUAUAUAGAAUAAUGCAUGACUCAUAUAUGCUCUAUAUAUAAGGAAAAAAUUGAUCAAGAAUUUGUGCAAUUGAAUAUAUAUAUAUAUAUAUUAUAGUGGCUUCAACCAAAUUCCUAGCUAGCUCACUUCCUCACGUUGCGGGCAAUGUGUUUGAAGAAGUUCCAAAAGGCGGUGCCAUAAUGUACGUUGAAGCAAAUAAUUCAUAUAUAACUGGGAAGAUGAGGAAUGCUUGAAAAUACUAAGGAAUUGCUACAAAGCGGUGCCGUAGAAGGGAAAGGUAAUUGUGAUUGAUCCAUUUGUGCCUGUGGCUCCUGAGACAACCCUCUUGGGUAGGUUUGCUUCCCAGUAUGACAAUCUUAUGUUUUGUGAGCUUGGAGGAAAGGAGAGGACGGAGAAUGAGUUCAAGGCCUUGGCAAUAGCAGCUGGGUUUUCACAGUCCCGAGUUGCGUGCUCUGCUUGUGGUUAUUGGGUGCUGGAGUUGAAGAAAUAAGUACUCAAUAUAUACUCCUUCACUAUCUUUGGGAACAUGAAAAUAAGUGCAUGCGGUAGAAGUAAAAAUACAAUUAUUCCUGAA